GAUGGUAAAAUAUAAGGUUGGGAUGAUGGUAAUAGAUGGUGGUAGGUGGUGGUUGGUGGAAUAAUAUUUGAUCCAAAGGUUAUAGCAAUUAAAGAGUAGAUCCAAGGGCUAAAAAUCUAGAAGCACCAAGGGAUGAUAUUUUUAAAAGUAUUCUAGCUCAAUUUUAUAUAUAUAUAUAUAUAUAUAGAGAGAGAGAGAGAGAGAGAGAGAGAGAGAGAGAGAGAGAGAUAGAGUAGGGCUAGAAUACUUUUACAAGUAUCACCCAAGUGAUACUUGUGUGUUUUUAGCCCUUGGAUGGAGAGAUGUGAGGUUGAGAUGAUGGGGGUAGGUGGUGGUAUGUGGUGGUAGGUGGAAUAGUGUUUGAUCCAAGGGCUAUUUGUAAUCAAAAAGUAGAUCCAAUGGCUAAAAACAUGAUAGCAACAUGGGGAUGAUACUUGUAAAAGUAUCCUAGAUCAACUCUAUAUAUAUAUAUAU
rnacentral:lncRNA from 1 species